AGUGAACGCUGGCGGUAGGCCUAACACAUGCAAGUCGAACGGCAGCACAGUAAGAGCUUGCUCUUACGGGUGGCGAGUGGCGGACGGGUGAGGAAUACAUCUGAAUCUACUUUUUCGUGGGGGAUAACUUAGGGAAACUUACGCUAAUACCGCAUACGACCUACGGGUGAAAGCAGGGGAUCUUCGGACCUUGCGCGAUUGAAUGAGCCGAUGUCGGAUUAGCUAGUUGGCGGGGUAAAGGCCCACCAAGGCGACGAUCCGUAGCUGGUCUGAGAGGAUGAUCAGCCACACUGGGACUGAGACACGGUCCAGACUCCUACGGGAGGCAGCAGUGGGGAAUAUUGGACAAUGGGCGCAAGCCUGAUCCAGCCAUACCGCGUGGGUGAAGAAGGCCUUCGGGUUGUAAAGCCCUUUUGUUGGGAAAGAAAAGCAGCAGGUUAAUACCCCGCUGUUCUGACGGUACCCAAAGAAUAAGCACCGGCUAACUUCGUG
rnacentral:rRNA from 1 species